AGACAGAAUCACAAUUCGGAGCUUCAAAAAUAUCCUGAGUGAAUAAUUAAUCUGCUAAAUAAAAUGGAGCUUCAUCUGGAUUAAGAACUGAACCUGAAAAAAGAAGGAGAGCAGCAUGGACCUUUAACAGGAUCUUUAGAUGGUGGGAACCUGGAGCAAAAUAUGAAGAUUCUCCUGUGCGUGAAUCAACAAUUGAAGCUGAAAACAAUGCUAGCAAGGAUAUAAUUGAGAAAGUAAACAGCAAAAUUCGGACCUUCAAAACAAUCUUCAUGAAACUGCCAAAGAAUAUAAACUUCAUCUGGAUCAAGGACAGAACCUGAAAGAAAUGCAGGUAAGAAUGUCUUAUAAUUACAUCUUUAAACUAUAUACAAGUGUGCAAUACACGGAAAUAAUAACAAUCUAGUUGACUAUAUAGGCCCGUAUUCUGAAGUCAGCUUUAAUUUAGACCAUUGUCUAACUCUGUGCUAAAAUUAUAAGCCAACAGUGUCAAAAUUUCUAUUAAGUUGUAUGUUUCUUAUGUUUACUGUGCUCUUUCCUGAUUCAUCGAUGGUGAAGAUAAUCAUCUUUUUAUACUUCCUAGACAAUUAUGAAUGAUUUGAGAGCCAAAUGAGCUGAAAUAUGAUGUCUCUACUGUAAGUGAAUUUAUGUAACAAUUGGUUGUCCAUAGUUAAACCACAACUUUAAACCUGAGUUUAAUUUAAACCGACUUCAGAAUACGGGCCUAUACGCCAAAUCUGUUAACUUCUGAGAUCAUGGAAAAUCAGACCACCAUCUUGUGUUUGGUGGGUAAAUGUACAAUCAAUUCAUACGGGAUUUGUCAAUCUGACAGCAACAGUCUUAGUACAUGUAUAUUGAAUAUAAUAUGACAAAUAUUUAAGGAUGCAUAAUUUGUCUUCUCUAACGGAAUCAUUGCUACACCUUUGUAGGCCCUUUCAAAAUAAAUUCUGCCAUAGACCCUUGACAGACACUGAUUAUGGCCGAAAAUUGACACUAUUGAUUUCCAGGGGCUUGUUUUGAAGACCUUCAUUACGAUUUCUGAAACAUACUGCUGUAGGGUAUCUCAGCUCAUGUUAAUAAAUGUACCAGUGCUAAUUAAUUGUGAUACCAUUCUAACAACGCCAAUAAAGUUGUUUGCUUUUCGUUUUUAAUUGUUAAUUUGAAGGGCCAUACGCGUACCUAGACAGGUUGAUUAUACCAUUCUUUAUAUAAGUAAGAAAUUUGAAAAUGAGGAACUUUACAGGGAAUUGUUCGAUUUUUACUUCAUUUGUUAUUCUAAAACAAAUAGAAAGUAAAGCCCAUAUUUGAAUAUUGGAUACAGAAAAAAUAGUAUUGAUUACGUGAUGAUGAAUUUAUUUGUUUUUGUUUAUGGUAAAAAUCUCAUUAUGUUUAUUUUAUGAAAUGCUUUCCUGACCAUUAUUCCGCUAUCAUGCUAAUCAAAAUGCAAGUGACAAGUUUACUGGUGUUGCCAAUAGUGAAUUCCGAUGGUUAUCUAUCCAUGCGGAAACUCCCCUUUUCUGCCAUAUAAUGCGAUUGGAGAUGAGGAGAAAGAUCCAUUUGCAAAGGAUAGUGUAUACUUUCCAGAGUUCUUCAGCUCGGUUUCAUUCUCUCAAUUCCAGAUCCAGGGUAGUCAUUGACAAAUAACUCGCUGUCAAUCGAGUUACCCGGGUAAAUAGAGAAAAGAUGUUAGUAGGCACAAACCAUGCUUGGAUAUACAUUCGGACGUGUUUCUCCUCCUCUUAGGCAUAUACUCAACCCUGUCGCGCUUCCUUUCCCCAUUCCGCGUAUUUUAGUAGCUCAGUCCCAACAAGACUGCUUAUAUAACCAGUUUUAUAAAGUUUCAUAAAGGACUUGCAACUGUUGUAAUUUUGCCAUGAUGGCAACUACCAUGUUAAUCUUAAUUUUGAUCGGAUGCUGAGCCCUGUUGCGAUGGUAGUUGCCAUUAUGGCAAAGUUACAACAGUUGUUACUCUUUAUGAAAUUAGCACCUGGUCAUUGAUGUUAAUAGAAAGCUAACUAUCAUCUAUUGCAUUGCGAUUUGUUUUAGUAUUUUGAGAUUCAUCCAAAAAAUUUCACUUUCAGCUAUGCUCGAUGGCAUGAGUACAUCCCUGAGUUUGUUGCGGAGGCAUAUACUGAAAGUGUCGUUUUAUGGCUUUAUAGAUUUUUUUAUCGACUUGCCUCAAUAGCAAAUCGUUCAAUGUUACGAUAUUUACUUCCGCCAAUGACAAAAAAAAAAAAAAAAAAUGUAUUGCGGUUCACGGCCAUUCCUAUACUAAAAACUGCGAACAAUGAAAGUGCAUCAGAAAUGAU